rnacentral:rRNA from 1 species
UCGGGAAUUUUGGGCAAUGGGCGAAAGCCUGACCCAGCAACGCCGCGUGAGGGAUGAAGUAUUUCGGUAUGUAAACCUCGAAAGAAUGGGAAGAAUAAAUGACGGUACCAUUUAUAAGCUCCGGCUAACUACGUGCCAGCAGCCGCGGUAAUACGUAGGGAGCAAGCGUUGUUCGGAUUUACUGGGCGUAAAGGGCGCGUAGGCGGCGCGGUAAGUCACUUGUGAAAUCUCUGAGCUUAACUCAGAACGGCCGAGUGAUACUGCUGUCCUAGAGUGCGGAAGAGGCAACCGGAAUUCUUGGUGUAGCGGUGAAAUGCGUAGAUAUCAAGAGGAACACCUGAGGCGAAGGCGGGUUGCUGGGCCGACACUGACGCUGAUGCGCGAAAGCCAGGGGAGCAAACG